rnacentral:rRNA from 1 species
UGAUGCAGCGACGCCGCGUGAGGGAUGACGGCCUUCGGGUUGUAAACCUCUUUCAGCAGGGACGAAGCGCAAGUGACGGUACCUGCAGAAGAAGCGCCGGCCAACUACGUGCCAGCAGCCGCGGUAAGACGUAGGGCGCGAGCGUUGUCCGGAUUUAUUGGGCGUAAAGAGCUCGUAGGCGGCUUGUCGCGUCGAAUGUGAAAUCUCAGGGCUCAACUCUGACAUUGCAUUCGAUACGGGCAGGCUAGAGUUCGGUAGGGGAGACUGGAAUUCCUGGUGUAGCGGUGAAAUGCGCAGAUAUCAGGAGGAACACCGGUGGCGAAGGCGGGUCUCUGGGCCGAUACUGACGCUGAGGAGCGAAAGCGUGGGGAGCGAACAGGAUUAGAUACCCUGGUAGUCCACGCUGUAAACGUUGGGCGCUAGGUGUGGGGGACCUCUCCGGUUCUCUGCGCCGCAGCUAACGCAUUAAGCGCCCCGCCUGGGGAGUACGGCCGCAAGGCUAAAACUCAAAGGAAUUGACGGGGGCCCGCACAAGCGGCGGAGCAUGCGGAUUAAUUCGAUGCAACGCGAAGAACCUUACCUGGGUUUGACAUCGCCGGAAAACUCGUAGAGAUACGGGGUCCUUCGGGGC